rnacentral:rRNA from 1 species
UACGUAGGUGGCAAGCGUUGUCCGGAUUUACUGGGCGUAAAGAGCGCGCAGGCGGUCGUCCAAGUCGCGUGUGAAAGCCCCCCGGCUCAACUGGGGAGGGUCACGGGAUACUGGUCGACUCGAAGGCAGGAGAGGGUAGUGGAAUUCCCGGUGUAGUGGUGAAAUGCGUAGAUAUCGGGAGGAACACCAGUGGCGAAGGCGACUACCUGGCCUGUUCUUGACGCUGAGGCGCGAAAGCUAGGGGAGCAAACGGGG